rnacentral:rRNA from 1 species
UACGUAGGGGGCAAGCGUUGUCCGGAUUUAUUGGGCGUAAAGAGCGUGUAGGCGGCCAGGUAGGUCUGCUGUGAAAUCUCCAGGCUUAACCUGGAACAGUCGGAGGGGACUGCCGGGCUAGAGGACGGGAGAGGAGCGCGGAAUUCCCGGUGUAGCGGUGAAAUGCGCAGAUAUCAGGAGGAACACCAAUGGCGAAGGCAGCUCGCUGGGACGGUACUGACGCUGAGACGCGAAAGCGUGGGGAGCAAACAGG